UUGGGUGUGAUGAUUAUUUCCCCAGAUAAUCAAAGUUGAACAAAUUGUGCAAACUUGUUUCUCUUUUGAGAAAUCAAGCCAAAUAAUCUGGGCCAA